UGUGUGCCAUGGCUGCCAAUGGAAUGCCGUUAAGCCAUGCUUCCCUGAUGAUCAUGUGACUAAUAACAUAUUGGUCCACAUAUGCUAAGCUAAAACCGACUUUUUGUGGGGAUAUUUUGGCGCCUAGUGUCUGCGACAUAUCUGCGCCAGGAAAAUACGGCAAACAUGACACUGCAUUAUGAAAAAGCGAAAAAGAGGCGUAAUCUGACGCAAAGGGGCAUAGUCUGCCUGAAACUAUUUACUAUUUAAUUUACAGAAAAUCCUCUGAAUAAAUAGCUGGAAAUUUCCACCUAGAAAAGCGAGGUGACUAGUUGGUCAGAAAAUGUUCCAAACCUGUAAAUCCCCAUAGUAAAAAGCGUGGAAGUCAGAAACAACAUUUCACACUAGUGAAAACAUAACGCUUUUAGUAAAUGAGGGCCAUUGUCUCUGGCCUCAUGGAAUGCUGGGAAAGGUCAGAGGCAUCAGUAAAAUAUAAAAGACUUGCACUAUAGCACUUCCAGGUUUGGUUCCCGUGCUUUAAAAUGGAACAAAGUGGCACAGACAGGAGCUGGCUUAUUUUGGCUAUGCCAUGAACUCAUGAACAUGUUGUACCACCUUGCUUUUAAGUGGAGGUCCAGUGCAAGCUGUACAUCAAACUUAGAUGGGUGGCUAAGAUUAGAUUUGCUUAGACAAAAUCUCAGGAGAACUGUGGAACAAAAAAACUACAAAAAUGGACAGGUCGAUUUAUAGAAGAAUGCAUCAGUUUGAUGUAGGGCAAAGUGUCUGGCGCAAGAACAAGGGAGAACAAAAGAGGUUUCCUAAAAAGAACACAGCACAAACUGGCCCACUUACACAGUGGAGGUCUUUACUGGCAUUGUCUGGAGACGUCAUAUCAAUCAACAAAGUGAAUUGAAUUCAGCUGCUGUAGAUAGGCCAAGUUCUAUGCCUGCCUCAUCUUAUGUUCCACUUACCGUACCAUCUACCUUGCCUGUGCUUGUUGUAUCAGGUAGUGAGUCUCCUA